UACGUAGGGUGCGAGCGUUGUCCGGAAUUAUUGGGCGUAAAGAGCUUGUAGGUGGUUUGUCGCGUCUGCUGUGAAAAUCCGAGGCUCAACCUCGGACUUGCAGUGGGUACGGGCAGACUAGAGUGUGGUAGGGGAGACUGGAAUUCCUGGUGUAGCGGUGGAAUGCGCAGAUAUCAGGAGGAACGCCGAUGGCGAAGGCAGGUCUCUGGGCCAUUACUGACACUGGAGAAG
rnacentral:rRNA from 1 species